GACGAACGCUGGCGGCGUGCUUAACACAUGCAAGUCGAACGGAAAGGCCUCAGCUUGCUGGGAUACUCGAGUGGCGAACGGGUGAGUAACACGUGGGUGAUCUGCCUUGCACUCUGGGAUAAGCUUGGGAAACUGGGUCUAAUACCGGAUAUGAACUGCCUUUAGUAUGGUGGUUGGAAAGUUUUUUCGGUGCAAGAUGAGCUCGCGGCCUAUCAGCUUGUUGGUGGGGUAAUGGCCUACCAAGGCGUCGACGGGUAGCCGGCCUGAGAGGGUGUACGGCCACAUUGGGACUGAGAUACGGCCCAGACUCCUACGGGAGGCAGCAGUGGGGAAUAUUGCACAAUGGGCGGAAGCCUGAUGCAGCGACGCCGCGUGGGGGAUGACGGCCUUCGGGUUGUAAACUCCUUUCGACAGGGACGAAGCUUUUUGUGACGGUACCUGUAGAAGAAGCACCGGCUAACUACGUG
rnacentral:rRNA from 1 species